UUUUUUGUAGAGAUGUAUAAAAGCUAACAGUCAUUCCCUAGAGGUAUAGAAUCCUCUAGAAGAGGUCUCCAUCCUUCUUCCUCAUAUCAUAGAGAUAACCAAUGUUAACAUUUUAAUGAGUGCACUUCCAUAGCUUUCUUUGACAUGUCAAAUAUACCCAUAUAUAGAAUUUUUUUUUUUGAGACAGAAUCUCACUCUCUUGCCCAGGCUGGAGUGCAGUGGUGCAAUCUCGACUUACUGCCACCUCUGCCUUCCUGGUUCAAGUGAUUCCCAUGCCCCAGCCUCCCGAGCAGCUGGGAGUACAGGUGCACGCCACCACGCCUGGCUAAUUUUUGUUGCUGUUGUUGUUUUGUGAGACAGAGUCUCACUCUCUCGCUCAGGCUGGAGUGCAGUGGCAUGAUCUCGGCUCACUGCAAUCUCCCUCUCCCAGGUUCAAGUGAUUCUCGUGCCUCAGCCUCCCAAGUAGCAGGGAUUACAGGCACAUGCACCACACCCGGCUUUUUUUUUUUUUUUUUUUUUUUUUCAGUAGAGACAUAUUCUGUGUGGGGAGUGCACAGGUAAAAAGCAAACACACAGCACUCACAGCAAGUGCAGAUUGUAAAGUACUCUAGGUUUAUUUAAGUAUAAAAGAGAAGGUGCAUUGAGCAAACAGCAGUGAGAAAAAAAAAACAAAACAAAACAAUCAGCGUAUAUACACUCACCAUAUGAUGGAGGAUUCAUCACCAGGCCGGGAAGCAACAGCCUGGGUUCCAGAGUCGGCCACUGGUCCACGCACAGAGGAGGAGAGGUCUCAUGCAGCUUCAGCAUAGUCUGGGACCCUGACCUUUUUUUUUUUUUUUUGAGACGGACUAAUUUUUGGUAUUUUUAGUAGAGAUGGGGUAUCACCAUGUUGUCCAGGCUGGUCUCGAACCUCUGACCUCAGGUGAUCUGCCCACCUUGGCCUCCCAAAAUGCUGGGAUUACAGGCGUGAGCCACCACACCCGGCCUGACCUUUUUAUAGUAUUCUCUUUGGCAUGAGGCCCAGGCACAAGGCCUUUUGUCACUGGACUCAAGGAACACGGAAAGGUCAGCCUAUUUUCAAGGUUUUGUUUAUCGCCUCGAGGCAGAUGAUGUAUGUAUCAAGAACAAUCAGUAUAGUCCAUCUGUUCCUGAGCCAGUGCCCAGGGACAGAUUUCUGGCAUGUAACAAUUCCUUGUGUUCAAGUCCAGUUGAGUUCAAAUUUAAUAUUUAACUUUUCCUCCACAAGACGGGGUUUUACCAUGUUGGCCAGGCUGGUCUCAACCUCUUGACUUCAGGGGAUCUGCCCACUUCAGCUUCCCAAACUGCUGGGAUUACAGGCGUGAGCCACUGCAUCUGGUGCAUACAGAAUUUUUGAUGAAUAUGGGCUCAUUCUAAACAAGUUGAAACUUAUAAUCAACAUCCUUUAGGAUAAAUCAUAUCGAUCUAAUGUGUUUUGGUUUAUCAGCUGUAUCAUAUUCCAUAGUCUAGAAGUACUAGAAAUUAGUCUACCCCUGCUUUUUUGGUUGGUUGGUUGUUUUUGAGAUGGAGUUUCGCUCUUAUUGCCCAGGCUGCACGAUCUUGGCUCACUG
rnacentral:lncRNA from 1 species